UUCCCAAUACUGGGACUGUGCUUGGUC
rnacentral:piRNA from 1 species